rnacentral:rRNA from 1 species
UACGUAGGGGGCUAGCGUUGUCCGGAUUUAUUUGGCGUACAGAGCGUGUAGGCGGCCGGGUAAGUCCGGUGUGAAAACUGGAGGCUUAACCUCCAGACGUCGACGGAAACCGUGUGGCUAGAGUCCGGAAGAGGAGAGUGGAAUUCCUGGUGUAGCGGUGAAAUGCGCAGAUAUCAGGAAGAACACCAAUGGCGAAGGCAGCUCUCUGGGACGGUACUGACGCUGAGACGCGAAAGCGUGGGGAGCGAACAGG